GUGCCCAGCUCCAAGUCCAGCGCAUGCAGUUAGUAAGGACGCCCCCAUUUCAACGGAAAGCUGAUUGUUCAGUUGGGGCUUUUGCGUGUGUGUGUGUAAAUUAGCCUGGCUAUCAGCCUGAAAACUGCACACUUUAAUAUUUUUAAAGCAGUCGAAAUCUCAAAGCUUUCUCCUUUCCAUAUGGAUACCACUGUCUCCACUAUCCAGGCGACCGUUUCACUGGAGUUAGCAAGGCGAACCGCGGCGCUUGCCCCACUUCCUCCUCAGAGCCAACCACCCACGUCUCAAGCGCCUCGGGAGAAUGAGGUAGCUGAUUAUCCUGAGCCCACAGCCACCCUGAUGUUGACUGUUUUUUCCUGCUUGGCAUAAUGAGCCCCUUCACAUUCCUCUCUGCUGACCUCUUAAGGACCAUUUGAGAAUAUCUUUCCAGAAGAUCAAGAGUUACAAAGAAACAGAAGUGUAGACUGAUGGAGAAAACCAGAGGGAUCUGGAGAUGGUGCUGUCUACAUGCUGAGUUUUAAUGCUUAAAUGGCACUUCCAUCAUGGAGUCAGUUGUGCUAAGAUCUGGGGCUUUGCUACAAGGUAAAGGUUUCUAAAGUGCUUUGCUGUUCUAGAAGGCUGUCUCUUAGGGUCAGUGGGGGGGGGCAAGAAAGAAUGAGGAGGAAGGGAGGGGAUACUUUAUUACAUGAUGAAAUUUAGUUCAAAUCCAGGUUGUUUGCCUUCUGUUCCCAUUGCUCUCCUAGACAGCACUUUGCUAGUAAACAGCCCUUAGAAAGCAUGACUGAUUUUCAGGGCAAUAUUAGGCCUUUUCUAAAGAAAACAAUGCAAUAAAUCAGGUUUUUACUAUCUUUUUAAGGACUUAUUUAGUUUAUGUUAUGUAUGUGAAUAUUCAGCUUGCAUUUAUCUAUAUGUAUCCCAUGCAUGCCUGGUGCCUGCAGAAACCAGAAGAGGUUGUAGGCUGCCAUGUGAGUGCUUGGAACCAAAUACGGGCCUUCUUGAAUAGCAGUAAAGAUUCUUAAUUGCUAAAAACAAUCUCUCUAGCCCCAAAUCAAGGCUUUUAAAGCCACCAUUUAACCAUU